AUUGAACGCUGGCGGCAGGCUUAACACAUGCAAGUCGAGCGGAGCGAGGGUGCUUGCACCUUAGCUUAGCGGCGGACGGGUGAGUAAUGCUUAGGAAUCUGCCUAUUAGUGGGGGACAACAUUCCGAAAGGGAUGCUAAUACCGCAUACGCCCUACGGGGGAAAGCAGGGGAUCUUCGGACCUUGCGCUAAUAGAUGAGCCUAAGUCGGAUUAGCUAGUUGGUGGGGUAAAGGCCUACCAAGGCGACGAUCUGUAGCGGGUCUGAGAGGAUGAUCCGCCACACUGGGACUGAGACACGGCCCAGACUCCUACGGGAGGCAGCAGUGGGGAAUAUUGGACAAUGGGGGGAACCCUGAUCCAGCCAU
rnacentral:rRNA from 1 species